rnacentral:rRNA from 1 species
GUGCCAGCCGCCGCGGUAAAACCAGCACCUCAAGUGGUCAGGAGGAUUAUUGGGCCUAAAGCAUCCGUAGCCGGCUCUGUAAGUUUUCGGUUAAAUCUAUACGCCCAACGUAUGGGCUGCCGGGAAUACUGCAGAGCUAGGGAGUGGGAGAGGUUGACGGUACUCCGUAGGAAGGGGUAAAAUCCUUUGAUCUAUGGAUGACCACCUGUGGCGAAGGCGGUCUACCAGAACACGUCCGACGGUGAGGGAUGAAAGCUGGGGGAGCAAACCGGAUUAGAUACCCGGGUAGUCCCAGCUGUAAACUAUGCAAACUCAGUGAUGCAUUGGCUUGUGGCCAGUGCAGUGCCGCAGGGAAGCCGUUAAGUUUGCCGCCUGGGAAGUACGUACGCAAGUAUGGAACUUAAAGGAAUUGGCGGGGGAGCACCACAAGGGGUGAAGCCUGCGGUUCAAUUGGAGUCAACGCCAGAAAUCUUACCCGGGGAGACAGCAG